AGGUAGAGGUUGCGCCUCUCAUCAGUAGGGUGUCGGAUGCGGUCCGAGCAGAUGAACACACCUGAAAGGGUUGGGCGCCGAAAGGCUGAAUUUGGGCAUUUCAGUACUUGGGCAUACAUUUAACAGAUGUAUGACUGUCAUCCGAUAAAUGUCGAGUUGGAGUACUACU
rnacentral:ncRNA from 1 species